AAUGUUCAUCUUCAGCUCUCCGAAGGAUGCAGGGGCAGCAGGAGAAUGGAGCUCGAGGCCGUCUUUAUUCCCCGAGUCAGAGACCAGGCUGGCUGGCCUCACACUCCGCCUGCCUCUGCCUCCCAAGUGUUAGAAUUAAGGCAUGCGUGCCACCAUCUCCAAAAUCUGUGGGAAAAGUCAACUGACAUUUUGAGAAGCCAUGAUGGACUAUGGAAAGACUGUACAGUGAGAAACUGAGGUCUGCCAGCCACCACAGUGUUCCCGGGGACAGGUCUAUCUCAGUCUAACUGCAGGCCUAUGUCACAUUGACUGUAGCCACAGGAGAGACCUUGUACCUGAGACAUCAGGAUAACCCCCUUCAGAGAAACAAAUGAUUGUUGUUGAAGUUUCUGCUUUGGGGGACAAUUUGCUAUGCAACAGUUAUGCAACCAGCAUGUUCCUUCAUUGAGUAGCUGGGAGAACAAGGACUUAAAGGAAGCCACAGUUCUUGUCUGUACUCUUUCUAGGAUAUAAAACUUCAACUUCUUCCUCCUCAUAAGAGGGCAUUGGUUUCUGUUACAGAUGGUUGUGAGCCACCAUGUGAUUGCUGGGAUUUGAACUCAGGGUCUCUGAAAGAGCAGUCAGUGCUCUUAAACCACUGAGCCAUCUCUCCACCUCCUCCCCCCACCCAAGUAUCUUUCUUACUAAUCAAUAAUAACCAUGUGAGCAAAAGGCUCACUUUGUUUAUUACGUGAAGGCUAUCCUGAAACUUUUGUACCACUCAGGCUACCUUCAAACUCAUGGGAAUCCUCCUGUCUCAACUUUCCAAGUGCUGGGACUAUAGAUGUAAGCCAUCACAACACAUCACAGGUUCUCUUCCUGCACAGAGGGAAAAUUUUUUUUGAGAUUUCAUUUUUAUUUCAUGUGCAUGGAUGUUUUUGCCUAAAUGUGUCUAUGCACCGCAAGCAUUCACUACCCAAUGAGGCCAUGGGAAAGCAUUGGAUCCUCUAGAACUGGAUUUACAGGCAGUUGUAAGCUGCCGUGUGGGGGUCUUCUGGAAGAACAGUCAGUGCCCUUAACUACUGAGACAUCUCGUACAGCCCCAAACAGAACAAAUUUUAUUAUGAUUUAACUAACUUUUUGUAAAAACAAAUCUUACCCUACUUCUUUCUAGCAAGAAUAUUUUACUAAGGAAAUUUAUUUCAAAAUACUGCACAUUUUAAAUCUUUUAGAAAACACUUUCUUAAAAUUGUUUAGAGGUGGCCGGGCAGUGGUGGCACAUGCCUUUAGUCCCAGCACUCAGGAGACAGAGGCAGAAACUCGAAUUUCUGAGUUCGAGGCCAGCCUGGUCUACAGAGUGAGUCCAGGACAGCCUGGGACACCCUGUCUCAAAAAACCAAAAAAAACCAAACCAAACCAAAAAAAUUUGCUCAGAGGCUGGGAACACUGCUCCACUGUCUGCAUGGCUGUCAGCCACACACAACACCCUAGCUGCGACUCCAAACAACUCUGUAAACCAAGCAUGAUGUGGCUGGUGCUUUCCUGGAAGCCCAGCACUCGGGAAGCAAAUUCAAGAUCAAAAGUUGAAGACAUCCCUAACAUGUGGAUGUGUCCAGUGCCACCCUUGGACAAGUGCUCUUGGGUUCUCUAAGAAAGCAGAGCGAGAAAGCAAUGAGGAGCGACCGUAUCUUCUGCUUCUGUUCCUGCCUCCAGGUUUCUGCCCUUCCUUGGGUUCCUGCUUUGACUUCCCUCAGUGAUGACCCAUCGCCAGGAAGUGUUAGAUGAGAUAAACUUUUUCUUCCCC
ensembl:lincRNA